GGCUGCAACCCCGGGGCCCGCGCCGCUGCCUAGCGCUUCCCGGGGGCUCUUUGGGGACGCGCCCCCCGCCGCGGCUCGGGGACCCGUAGAGCCCGGCGCUGCGCGGUUGGCCCUUCUCCCGCGCCCCGCGCUCACCCUCCUGCUCCUCCUCAUGGCCGCUGUUAUCAGGUGCCUGGAGCAGGCCUAGACCACCGACUGGAGGGCCACCCUGAAGACCAUCCGGAACGGCGUUCAUAAGAUAGACACGUACCUGAACGCCGCCUUGGACCUCCUGGGAGGCGAGGACGGUCUCUGCCAGUAUAAAUGCAGUGACGGAUCUAAGCCUUUCCCACGUUAUGGUUAUAAACCCUCCCCACCGAAUGGAUGUGGCUCUCCACUGUUUGGCGUUCAUCUUAACAUUGGUAUCCCUUCCCUGACAAAGUGUUGCAACUAACACGACAGGUGCUAUGAGAACUGUGGCAAAAGCAAGAAUGACUGUGAUGAGAAAUUCCAGUAUUGCCUCUCCAAGAUCUGCCGAGAAGUACAGAAAACACUAGGACUAACUUAGCAUGUUCAGGCAUGUGAAACAACAAUGGAGCUCUUGUUUGACAGUGUUAUACAUUUAGGUUGUAAACCAUAUCUGGACAGCCAACGAGCCACAUGCAGGUGUCAUUAUGAAGAAAAAACCGAUAUUUAAAGGAGAUGCUGACAGCUGGUGACAGAUGAAGACGGAAGAACAUAACCUUUGACAAAUAACUAAUGUUUUUACAACAUAAAACUAUCUGAUUUUUGUGAAAAAAGAAAAACAAACAUAGUUGGAGCUACCUGUACAUCUCCCAUAUUGCAACACCUCCCUUUCCCAAAGAUGUACCCAUUAUCCUAAAUUUAGUGUUUAUUAUUCCUGAGCAUUUCUAUUUCUGUGUAGGUAUCCUUAAGCAAUACAUAGUAUUUUUUUUGCCAGCUUUUAAAAAUUAUAUCAUUGGUUACAUACAGUGUAAUUCUUCAACCUUUUUCUACUCAACCCUGUUUGUAAGCUUCACUCAAAUUGACAUGUAUACUGUAUCUAGUUAGCUGAUUUUCAUUUCUGUUAUGA
rnacentral:lncRNA from 1 species